UACGAAGGGGGCUAGCGUUGCUCGGAAUGACUGGGCGUAAAGGCGCGUAGGCGGUUCGUACAGUCAGACGUGAAAUUCCCGGGCUCAACCUGGGGACUGCGUUUGAUACGUGCGGGCUUGGGUUCGGAAGAGGGUCGUGGAAGUUCCCAGUGUAGAGGUGAAAUUCGUAGAUAUUGGGAAGAACACCGGUGGCGAAGGCGGCGACCUGGUCCGAUACGUGACGCUGAGGCGCGAAGCGUGGGGAGCAAACAGG
rnacentral:rRNA from 1 species